AAGCUCGUAGUUGAAUUUCGGGGUUAGUAGGUUGGUCAUGCCUCCGGUAUGUACUGGUCUCACUGAUUCCUCCUUCCUGAUGAACCGUAAUGCCAUUAAUUUGGUGUUGCGGGGAAUUUGGACUGUUACUUUGAAAAAAUUAGAGUGUUUAAAGCAAGCUAACGCUUGAAUACAUUAGCAUGGAAUAAUGAAAUAGGACGUUCGAUCCUAUUUUGUUGGUUUCUAGGAUUGACGUAAUGAUUAAUGGGAUAGUUGGG
rnacentral:rRNA from 1 species